AACGAACGCUGGUGGCAUGCCUAACACAUGCAAGUCGAACGAGAUCUUCGGGUCUAGUGGCGCACGGGUGCGUAACGCGUGGGAAUCUGCCCUUUGGUUCGGAAUAACAGUUGGAAACGACUGCUAAUACCGGAUGAUGACGAAAGUCCAAAGAUUUAUCGCCAGAGGAUGAGCCCGCGUAGGAUUAGCUAGUUGGUGGGGUAAAGGCGCACCAAGGCGACGAUCCUUAGCUGGUCUGUGAGGAUGAUCAGCCACACUGGGACUGAGACACGGCCCAGACUCAUACGGGAGGCAGCAGUGGGGAAUAUUGGACAAUGGGCGAAAGCCUGAUCCAGCAAUGCCGCGUGAGUGAUGAAGGCCUUAGGGUUGUAAAGCUCUUUUACCCGGGAUGAUAAUGACAGUACCGGGAGAAUAAGCUCCGGCUAACUCCGUGCCAGCAGCCGCGGUAA
rnacentral:rRNA from 1 species